CCCAGAGGUACUAUUUCUUGCUUCACAUCUCGCCACGUCGUCUCCUUCCUUCGGCUCUUCCAGUAUCUUACUUGUCAAGUUUUUCACCGUUGAUACGAUAAAACCCAUGUUUCUAGCCGUUGAUUAUUCAGAGAAAUUACUCGUGGACGCCGUAAUUUUCGUGUUUAUGAUUCCUAAUUAAAGCUCAAAAUAUUUAUAUUUUAGAUUCUGUGUUCUUUCUGUUUUGUGCGAUUGUUCCAGAAAUCACUAGAUCUGUAAAUUGAAGAUUCUGCAUGCGUAAUCUGGGAAGUUUGGUGUAGGUUUUGCUCUGUCCAUAAAGGUUUGAUUUUCUAUAUAUUUCUUUUUUCCCUGUUUUAUGGAGUGAUUUAGUGCUGUAUGGCGUGAUUAUUGCAAAAUCUUUUUGAUUUCUAGUUAGAGAUGUUAAUUUCUUGUGGAUUUUUGCUUUUCAUUUGUUUUAUUUUGCUUCUGGUUUGCUGUGCAUGCUAGCUUUGAUGUUUUUUCUGGCUUGCUGUAAAAAUUCUGAUCUACUUGAUGUGGUUAGUUGAUCGUUGAUUCUUUUUUUUUUUUUCCUGGUAAUUUACAUAGUUUAUCUCCUCAAAUUUUUUAGUUUUUUUUUUUCUACGUGUGGGUUCCUGAUCAGAAUGCAAGAAAAUGUUGAGGCUGGUUCAAUCAAGUUAACAAUUUGGAUUAUGUUAAACUUUAAAAUUAAAAUAAGGAAAUGCUUUAUCUCGACAAGGAAUUUAAAGAGGGUUGAUAGAAAGAGAAGGUCAUUGCGAGAACAGGGAUAAACAGAAAGAAAGUAUAUGCACAUUUAUUUAUGUUAGAGCGUAAUGGAUAUUGAGAACUGCUAAAGCAAUCACCAUUUAAUUGCUUUCAAAUUUUCAGAUUAUGUAAUCCAAUCAUCCACCCUAAACACCCUUAAUUUAUGAACUGUAAGUGUGUGCUUGUACUCGUAUGUCAUGCCAACUGAAAGUGGAUGAAUUCUCGCUAACAGCAUUGUCGUUUUUUUCAGUGUUUGUGCAGUGAGAGCGUAAGUCUUCACAAUCCCUUAAAAUUCUCACUAGAAACUUGGCAUGGGAGUGGUAACUGCUUCCAGCUCAGCUGCUUGUACACCACUAGGAUUGAGCACAAAAUUUUCAAAUUACAAAUCCACCGUAAAAAGACCAUUGAUUGUGGCAUUUAAAGAAGAUAAAUCCAAUAACAUAGCUUUGAUUGCACCUCGUGAGCAAAUCCCAUUGCCUAUAGAGACACCCAAAGGGAAGAAGAGAAGAGGAAAAACUACCAAUGAAGUGUCUUCAAGCACCUUGGAAGUGGAUUACAAUGAAGCUGCCGCCAAGCUCGAGAAUUUAUACAAGAUUAGCCCUGCAGCUGAUACUUCUGAUGUGGAUGUAAAUGGCUUGAUUGGGAAAGGUCUUCGAAGGAAAAGGAAAACUGGUGAAGGUGACAGGAAAGCAGAAAAUAGAGCUAGUGAAAUCGUUGUUGGGAACCCUGCGACGAAAACUAAACGAUUGAGCCUUGAUAAAAGAAUUGCAAUGAGGAAGACCAAGGAAGAGGAAAUGGUACCUUCAAUUAGGAAGAAAACAGAUGCUAAGGAUGAGAAUGAAAAGAUUGAGGAACUUGUGAGGGUGUAUUCUGCUUCAACUGAUUUGGUUAGCUUGGAUUGGAAAAAAAUGAAGAUACCUCCAGUUCUCCCUUCAACAGAGCAUGCCUGGUUAUUCAAGUUAAUGCAACCCAUGAAGGCACUCCUUCAAGUGAAAGACCGUUUGCAAAAAAAAUUGGGUAGAGAACCAAAUAAAGGUGAAUUAGCUGAGGCAACAAAUAUGAAUGUAGAGCAAGUAAGGAAACAGAUAAGAGUUGGUCAAGCCGCAAGAAACAAGCUAAUUAAGCACAAUCUCCGGCUUAUAUUGUUUGUAAUCAAUAAAUAUUUUCAAGACUUUGCUAAUGGCCCAAGAUUUCAAGACCUUUGUCAAGCAGGAGUUAAAGGACUUAUUACAGCAAUUGAUCGCUUUGAACCCAAAAGGAGAUUUCGGCUCUCCACAUAUAGUCUUUUUUGGAUUAGGCAUGCCAUAAUACGAUCAAUGACACUCUCAAGCUUUACACGUGUCUCAUUUGGCCUUGAAUCAGUAUGUUCUCUUCAUACCAAAGCUUUUUUUUUUUUUUCACAUGCUCAAAACAGCAUGAUGAUCUACAUUUAUCCCAAUUUUUUUCAUUCUAACUAACAUGAAGUAUUUUCGUUACUUUGAGUGUCAAGGAUCUUAGGCUUUUGUUAGUCAGUACUAAAGCGGGCCUCAGGCUAAUUUUGAUCCAUGGAGAUGAGGGCCUUGAAUCAGACUGGAGAGGCCUGGUUCCCCUUGGUUCUGGUUUCAGUUUGAUUCGGGUGUUUCAGUUCAAUUUGGGUUAAGGCAAUUCAAUGCUUAAAAGGGUUUGCAUUGGACUGUUACGCCAAACUCCAGUUCUGGUCUGUUACGGUUCAUUAAAAGAGGGGGGGAGCCCAGCCCUUGAGGGUGGCGGUUCCUGUCCGAUUACGGUCCUAGGCCGAGGUUUGUCUGGUCUGGUCCCGGUUUGAGACCACCCCUUGGCCAGGUCUAGUUAGUACUAAAGUGAAAAUUUAUCAUUUAAAGACAUUAGCUUGGGAAGUAACUAAAAAAUUUUCCCAUUUAAAGACGGGUUGCGAAGAACUAAAAAGAUUUGGAAAGGCAUUUGUGUAUCAGAAAGGAGGAGGAAGUUUGAAUAUAGUAAAACUCAACUCAAUAAAGCCUUGGUCCCAAAGUAGUUAGAGAAGGUUACAUGGAUCCUUUUCCUCCACUCGGCUAUCAUACUUUCGAUUAGCUGUUGCUUCAUGUAUGAAGCAACCAGUAAACCAUAAAGAAAAAUUUAGAAAGAGCAAUUUCUAUUUUUAAUUCUGGUUUGGUCUUGCAAUAUUUGCUGCGUGCCAAUGAAUGAGAAAACAUUGUGACAUUAAAAUUUCAAUUUUUUCAGGUAAGAGUGGAGAUCCAAAAGGCCAAACUUGAGUUGUUGGUUGAGCUUCAAAGACAACCAACAGAGGAAGAGAUUAUUGAGAGGGUGGGAAUCUCCCCUGAGAGGUAUCAUGAAGUAAUGAGGGCUUCAAAACCUGUUUUCUCUCUACAUUCAAGGCAUGCAGUUACCCAGGAAGAGUUCAUCAGUGGGAUCACUGACAUUGAUGGAGGUGAUAACCGGAGGCAGCCAGCUCUUCUAAGGCUUGCUCUUGAUGAUGUGCUUGAUUCUCUAAAGCCAAAGGAGAGCCUAGUGAUCAGACAGAGAUAUGGGCUAGAUGGUAAAGGUGAUAGAACAUUAGGAGAGAUUGCUGGAAAUUUGAGCAUGUCAAGAGAAAUGGUUAGGAAGUAUGAAGUUAAGGCACUCAUGAAGCUCAAGCACCCAGCUAGAGUUGAUUAUCUUCGCCGUUAUGUUGUCUGAAUUGGUGAACAUCAUAAGGUUUUGCUUACAUUACUUACUCCCCUCCUAUCACUACUCAUCAACAGUUGCUGUAUACUAAUGACCUGUAUCAUAGUCAUUUUUAACCACAUGAAAAUAGAAAAAUCUCAUACAAUGUAAUAUACUUCUACGGAAUUUGGAGAUUUCAAAUCACCACAUAUACAUGUAAUAGUGUCUCUCCUUUAAAAUCUGAUAAUCCCUCGUACAUUUUAUGUAUAUGUAUUCAAAUUCUUCACUGACUCAUACACGUUGUGUGUUCUAUUGAUGUUUGCAUAAG
rnacentral:misc_RNA from 1 species